CCUAAAACUAAUUACUCCAAAAUUGUUUAUCAUAUAAUCACUUUCCCUUUAUUUGAUAAACAUCAAAAGGGUUGGAAAUAGAACAUCACGGCCAAGUGGGAGCUGGUGGUGGUGGUUGGUCUUGUUUAGGAAAAAUGUGGGUGGCUAGGGCGUUUAGGGUGUUGAAGAGGGUGGUAAUCCAACUUCUUGUUCCUCCUUAUUUGCUUCGAACAUGAUGACAAUUUGGGCUUCUUGUUGUGCAUUGUUUUCAAUAAACAGGUGAUGAAUAUGGUCAAUAAUGAUUGAGGUGGUUGAGUCAUCUGGAAAAAGGGGUAAGGCUAGGGUGAUGUAUGGUCGCAUGGUGGUUAUAGGUUAGGGUUGUGGAUAUUUAUUUGAGGAGGUGGGCUAGGAGGUUGAGGUGUAAGGCUUGGUGGUUUAGUGGUAGGGCUAGGUGGUUUGAUAAGGCUAGGAGGUUGGUUGUUAUUGUUAAGACCUAUGUGUUGUCCAACUUCUUGGGGGUCUUCAUCUUCAGAAGCAUCUUAAAAAAGAACGUAUGUUGUUGGAUCAUCACAGCUUGUCAAAGCGAUGCAGCGAAAUGGUUAGCGUGUACAACAAACAAGGAAGGGGGUGAAUUGGUUUCUUAUCGC
rnacentral:lncRNA from 1 species